GCUUUAUAAGUUUAAAGAUUUUGUAUAUUUUAUUAUAGCUAUAAUUUCUUGAAUACUUAUUUAAUUGGGGCGAUAACAGUAUAAUUAUAGUAACUGCUUGUAAGUAAUACAAAAAUACUUGAAUUGAAAUUAUAAUUGAUCCUUUAUAAAGAUUUUAAGAUCAAGUU
rnacentral:rRNA from 1 species